rnacentral:tRNA from 1 species
GCUCAGUUGGUAAAGCACAAGGCUCUUAACCUUGUGGUCGUGGAUUCAAACCCUAC